GGGCCCGCACAAGCGGCGGAGCAUGCGGCUUAAUUCGAUGCAACGCGAAGAACCUUACCUGGGCUUGACAUGCAGGGCAAAGCCGGUGAAAGCCGGCGCUCUACGGAGCCUGCACAGGUGGUGCAUGGCUGUCGUCAGCUCGUGCCGUGAGGUGUUGCCUUAAGUGGCGCAACGAGCGCAACCCUUGUCCCUAGUUGCCAGCGGGUCAUGCCGGGAACUCUAGGGAGACUGCCGGUGCCAAACCGGAGGAAGGUGGGGAUGACGUCAAGUCAUCAUGCCCCUUAUGUCCAGGGCUGCACGCAUGCUACAAUGCGCGGUACAAAGGGCUGCAAACCCGCAAGGGGGAGCGAAUCCCAAAAAGCCGCGCUCAGUUCGGAUCGGGGUCUGCAACCCGACCCCGUGAAGUCGGAGUCGCUAGUAAUCGCAGAUCAGCAAUGCUGCGGUGAAUACGUUCCCGGGCCUU
rnacentral:rRNA from 1 species